rnacentral:rRNA from 1 species
UGGGGAAUAUUGGACAAUGGGCGAAAGCCUGACCCAGCAACGCCGCGUGAAGGAUGAAGUAUUUCGGUAUGUAAACUUCGUAAGAAUAGGAAGAAUAAAUGACGGUACUAUUUGUAAGGUCCGGCUAACUACGUGCCAGCAGCCGCGGUAAUACGUAGGGACCAAGCGUUGUUCGGAUUUACUGGGCGUAAAGGGCGCGUAGGCGGUGUGUCAAGUCAGUUGUGAAAUCUCCGAGCUUAACUCGGAACGGUCAACUGAUACUGUCACACUAGAGUACAGAAGGGGCAAUCGGAAUUCUUGGUGUAGCGGUGAAAUGCGUAGAUAUUCGGAAGAACACCAGUGGCGAAGGCGGCUCACUGGACGUGUAUUGACGCUGAGGUACGAAAGCGUGGGGAGCAAACAGGAUUAGAUACCCCCGUAGUCCCUGAGCGGGCUGGCAAGGCGCAU